GAAUAGGGCCUGCCUCGAACAUCACAAAGAGAGUGGAUGUGCCACGUAAAAGCUGGCAGUGGAAAAUUUCAGAACCUGAAAUAGUUGUGUAACAGGCACAUGUUCCUCCGGUAAAAAGAGGAAGGAAACAAGCUUAAGACCUUGCGAUUCCUAAAAAGGCAAUGAGUUAAAAUGGACAGUACAUUGUAUUAGAAAUAUGUUAUUUUGUAACAGGAAGAUUGUAAGCCAAGCCUCCGAAGGAGGGGCGGCAGUUAGGGCUUAAAACCUUCAUGCAUUGCUUGAACGGGGCUCUUCGGUCACACGGGGAUGUGAUGGGAGCCCGCCUUUGCAAACGCGACCCAAUAAAUAUAUUUGGUUAACCAAGCUAAAGGUCUCAGUCCGUUUAUCCACGUUUAGGAUUUUCUCACAAAUUUGGCGCCCAACGUGGGGCUCCUUACCGUCCAACGGGGGAAUCGGUGGAGACGAGGGGCUUGAGGCGCCUCUCCUUGAUUUCAGGGAGGUCCGUCCUCUCCACCCGACCCGCCGUGGGCGAAAGGGGCUAGACGAGACCCACAGGAAAGUAAUGAUCGGUAGGAUCUCCGCCGUUUGAAAUACGGGCAGGAGAACUUGCAGGGACGCCUGCCUGUCCACUACCUGACGAAGGACUGGACUGACCGACAGACGAGGUCUUCUGGCGCAGAGACCACCUCUCCUUGGAAGCCAACAUCCCCACCAGCCUGGAGACUGGGUGCUCAUAAAAACCUGGCGGACUGAAAAAUUAACCCUGGCUUGGGAGGGACCGUACCAAGUUCUGCUGACAACUGAAUCGGCAGUGCGGACCCAAGAGCACGGGUGGACACACUAUCACCGGGUUAAGAAGGCACCACAGGACUGGACCGUUCGGGUCGACCCUAGCAACCCGCUAAAAAUCACGAUCCGACGAACCUAGGUCCAAAGGGGGAUGAGCUCGAGGAGGAGAGGGAUGGACUGGCCAAAGAUGACCUGGACACUUUUGCUGUGGGCUACGGCCGCAAUCGCGGGCGAACAUGCCUGCACGGACUGCAUCCAAAUUACUAAAACUGGGACUGUUGUCACACGGACAUUGAUGUAUUAUAAUGUUGCUCCGGAAUGUGAAAAGGAACUAGAACCCUGUGUCCAUAACCAAACCCAAUAUUUUAGGUGCAGAACUAAGGAAAACAAGACCGAGUGUUAUGAGCCCUUAGCAGUAGGGCCCAUUACAUCCAGUAUAUAUGUGUAUGGAUAUAAGGGAGGAACGGCAAACAAGGCUGGAGAAAGAGCACAUACAAAGGCAAGGGUAUAUAGCCCACAACAUUACGAGAGGUGCAGAUAAGGUACAUGUUUGUUUUGAUGCAUGCACCGCUAUCACAAAGGGGCAGGGGCCUAACGAUCAAGCUGGAGUUACUUGCGGGUCACUGAGCUGGGAAAGGUCUUACCUCCAGGAAAAUAAUUAUUUAUUCCAGCAGAUUGCCGGUUCUAACGUAGGGACCACCCGGACGAUCAAUUAUUGGUAUACUAAGGGGGUUGAUGAAUCACCCCCGUAUUGGGGUCCGGAAGGUGUCAAUAUUACCCGAGCAGGAAUUUCCAUGGCCUGUAGCUCGGGAAAAUGCAACCCUGUGUGCCUAUGGACUAGGGAACUGCCCUCCACUAGCCCCAAAUGGGUUGGGGAUAGAUGGAACUGGAAAGGAUCCCUAUGGGUAUUUGAUUAUAAUGAUUCACACUACCAAGGUAAGCAAAAAGCUUAUAUCAGUAUAUGAAAGUUUUGAAGAAGAAAUGCAACAACUAAACAAUUUACCUUUACCCCCAAAAGCAUAUAAUAUGUUUCUAAGCCUGGCCGAAACUAUAGCAAAAGAACUAACAGUAAGGAAUUGUUUUGUGUGGGGGGGGGGACAAACAUGGGAAGGGCUGAAUUUUAAGGAAUUAUUCGGCUCAUGGUUCCCAAAGUUGCCAGGGUUGCAAGCCAUCGUAGCCCUAAUUGGAUUAAUAGCCGCAGGAUGUGUAUUGAUCCCUUGUGUGUUACCUAUCUUUGUCAGGGCAAUCAACAACUCCCUCUCCCUGUUAGCACAGCGACACGCUGCCACCCAAAUGAUGGUAAUGAGGUAUGAACCUGUGCCUACAGAAGAGGAGGAAGGGAACCAUUUGGAUUUAUUGUGUGAGUUCGAGGCAAGCAUGAAAAAGAGGGGGGAUUUGUGAGAAUAGGGCCUGCCUCGAACAUCACAAAGAGAGUGGAUGUGCCACGUAAAAGCUGGCAGUGGAAAAUUUCAGAACCUGAAAUAGUUGUGUAACAGGCACAUGUUCCUCCGGUAAAAAGAGGAAGGAAACAAGCUUAAGACCUUGCGAUUCCUAAAAAGGCAAUGAGUUAAAAUGGACAGUACAUUGUAUUAGAAAUAUGUUAUUUUGUAACAGGAAGAUUGUAAGCCAAGCCUCCGAAGGAGGGGCGGCAGUUAGGGCUUAAAACCUUCAUGCAUUGCUUGAACGGGGCUCUUCGGUCACACGGGGAUGUGAUGGGAGCCCGCCUUUGCAAACGCGACCCAAUAAAUAUAUUUGGUUAACCAA